UUUAUAUUACAUGGAUAAGAUUCCAGAUUUGGUGUUUGGGUUUAUAUGUGACAUUUGAACUUAUGUGUGAUUUUUAAGCACAACGAGUGUUUGGGAAUAGAUGGACUGAGAUACAAAGGUGGAUUCAGGCAGAAAGGAUAAGGCUGUGAACAGGUUUACGAGACUUCGUGUGAAGAGAGCCAAGCAUGAAACUAUGGCUAGCGAGAACAACUCAAACAAUAAAAGAAUGUUCUUCUUAGAUGGUAGUUGUACUCCAGCGAAUAUGAAACUCUUAUUGCCAAUAGAACAAGGAUCUAGCUCCAUGUAAGUUCUUCUCUUCCAGGAUAGCUGCCUUACAUUACACGUUAUGUCUCCACAGUGAGUUAUUUAUGAGCAUCACAAGGUGGAAACUUUCCUCACUCCCUCAUGAGUGACUGGAGGACAAUCUAAAACUAUUAGUCUGGACAAGCGAAAGUUAACAAUCCUCUUUGACAACCCCAACAUCUGAAAAUGGAAGGAAAAAGCCUUUUGCUGGAUCCUUUUUAUGCAGAAGGAAUCGUCCGUCAGAAAAUGGAUCGAAACGGUGGCUAUUGAUGCAGCCAAAGACAUGGUACUGUCAAAGGAACAAUGGAUGUUAAAGAACUUGUGCUUUUACUGGCCAAAAACUCAAUGAACCAUCAAUCUCUUCUUCUGGUCAAAGACUGUGCCACCCCUCCCGCCUUAAAGAAAGAAGUCUCGGCUGCAGGAGAAAGAGACAAAGAAGGAAGGGAAGUUGGAGAGAAGAAAACAGAGGGUGGCUAGAAGAAGAAAGAAGUUGUUGACGGCAGAGAAGAGAGAAAACGAAAGAUGUUGGAGCUGGCAGGAAGAAGAAGAAAGAAGCCAGGCGUGGUGAGAAGAAGUGGGGUCAAAUCAUUGUCACACGUAAGAUUAUAAGUUCAUACAAGUAUAUGCAUUGUCUUAAAUUUUUCUGACGGACAUCUCUAUAACUAUAAUUUUCAACUACUACCAAAAUAAAACUUGGAAGGAACGAGAAAUAUUGUAUACACUCUAAUCUAAUAAAGUUAUAACUAUUAUUCUUAA